GUGGAUUAGAUACCCCGGUAGUCCUAGCUGUAAACGAUGGGUACUAGGUGUUGCCCGUAUCGACCCGGGCAGUGCCGUAGCUAACGCGUUAAGUACCCCGCCUGGGGAGUACGCACGCAAGUGUGAAACUCAAAGGAAUUGACGGGGGCCCGCACAAGCGGUGGAGUAUGUGGUUUAAUUCGAUGCAACGCGAAGAACCUUACCAGGGCUUGACAUGUCCGGAAUCUUUCUGAAAGGAGAGAGUGCCUUCGGGAGCCGGAACACAGGUGGUGCAUGGCCGUCGACAGCU
rnacentral:rRNA from 1 species